GAUGAAGAACGUAGCGAAAUGCGAUAAGUAAUGUGAAUUGCAGAAUUCAGUGAAUCAUCGAAUCUUUGAACGCACAUUGCGCCCCUUGGUAUUCCGGGGGGCAUGCCUGUUCGAGCGUCAUUAUAACCCCUCAAGCUCAGCUUGGUGUUGGGGCCUGCCGACUGGCAGCCCUUAAAAUCAGUGGCGGCGCCAUCUGGCUCUAAGCGUAGUAAUUUCUCUCGCCAUAGAGUCCCGGUGGAUGCUUGCCAGCAACCCCCAACUUUCUAUGGUUGACCUCGGAUCAGGUAGGGAUACCCGCUGAACUUAAGCAUAUCAAUAAGCGGAGGA
rnacentral:misc_RNA from 1 species